rnacentral:rRNA from 1 species
AUGAACGCUGGCGGCGUGCCUAAUACAUGCAAGUCGCGCGAACAGACGAGGAGCUUGCUCCUCUGACGUUAGCGGCGGACGGGUGAGUAACACGUGGAUAACCUACCUAUAAGACUGGGAUAACUUCGGGAAACCGGAGCUAAUACCGGAUAAUAUAUUGAACCGCAUGGUUCAAUAGUGAAAGACGGUUUUGCUGUCACUUAUAGAUGGGUCCGCGCCGCAUUAGCUAGUUGGUAAGGUAACGGCUUACCAAGGCAACGAUGCGUAGCCGACCUGAGAGGGUGAUCGGCCACACUGGAACUGAGACACGGUCCAGACUCCUACGGGAGGCAGCAGUAGGGAAUCUUCCGCAAUGGGCGAAAGCCUGACGGAGCAACGCCGCGUGAGUGAUGAAGGUCUUCGGAUCGUAAAACUCUGUUAUUAGGGAAGAACAAAUGUGUAAGUAACUAUGCACGUCUUGACGGUACCUAAUCAGAAAGCCACGGCUAACUACGUG